GGGGGCGUCAUGGCUUCGACGUGGAUUGCAAAACCUGAUGUGCAUGCCGAGGAUAUAGCUAACCUCGUUAAUAAUGCUAUAAACAGAUAGUUGCAAACGACAACAUCUUUGCUGCUAACGACGAAGUAAAAGCUGCUGCCUAAUCGGCAGUUUCAAUAGCCUAGUCGUUGUGUCGUCCUAAAAACACGACCCAGCCCAGUCUCUAUAUGCGCUUGUGCAUAUAAAAGAUUGGUCAUAAUUUACAAGCUCGUAGCUUAAAAUGUCUGAAGUUAAGCUACUAAAACGCAUCAGACUCACAGUAUAGUUAUCCUGUUGGUCGGAGAGCUUACUGUUAAUUCAAUAGACCUUACUAAGCAUGUAGAGCAAAAGGCGGAGGGUUUGCGGACGCGGGUUCAACUCCCGCCGCCUCCACCA
rnacentral:tmRNA from 1 species